AGACCGAUAGCGAACAAGUAGAGUGAUCGAAAGAUGAAAAGCACUUUGAAAAGAGAGUUAAACAGCACGUGAAAUUGUUGAAAGGGAAGCGCUUGCGACCAGACUCGCCCGCGGGGUUCAGCCGGCAUUCGUGCCGGUGUACUUCCCCGUGGGCGGGCCAGCGUCGGUUUGGGCGGCCGGUCAAAGGCCCCUGGAAUGUAGUACCCUCCGGGGUACCUUAUAGCCAGGGGUGCAAUGCGGCCAGCCUGGACCGAGGAACGCGCUUCGGCACGGACGCUGGCAUAAUGGUCGUAAACGACCCGUCUUGAAACACGGACAAAGA
rnacentral:rRNA from 1 species